GAUGAACGCUAGCGGGAGGCCUAACACAUGCAAGCCGAGCGGUAUUGUUUCUUCGGCAAUGAGAGAGCGGCGUACGGGUGCGUAACACGUGUGCAACCUGCCUUUAUCUGGGGGAUAGCCUUCCGAAAGGAAGAUUAAUACUCCAUAAUAUAUUGAACGGCAUCGUUUAAUAUUGAAAGCUCCGGCGGAUAGAGAUGGGCACGCGCAAGAUUAGCUAGUUGGUGAGGUAACGGCUCACCAAGGCGAUGAUCUUUAGGGGGCCUGAGAGGGUGAUCCCCCACACUGGUACUGAGACACGGACCAGACUCCUACGGGAGGCAGCAGUGAGGAAUAUUGGUCAAUGGGUGCAAGCCUGAACCAGCCAUCCCGCGUGAAGGACGACUGCCCUAUGGGUUGUAAACUUCUUUUGUAUAGGGAUAAACCUACCCUCGAGAGGGUAGCUGAAGGUACUAUACGAAUAAGCACCGGCUAACUCCGUG
rnacentral:rRNA from 1 species